UUGAAAACGAUGUCAUUUCACCGUUGUCGUCGACGCAGCCACAGCAUAACCGUCCCUUAUUACACUCGGUCCUUCAUCUACUUCAUCUCUAUUUCUUCUCAUCCCCUGACAUUCAUCCUGUAAUCCUCUUCGUCAUCUUUGUUAUUAUCGUCCGACUCUUCACAGUCAGUGUUUAUUAUUGUAAUCGUUGUCAUCAUCUUUAUCAUCAUCACCCGCGUCAUCAUAAUCGUCCACUUACAAUAGCAACAACUACAAUAUUAUUCGCCACCUUUACUUAACGAGAAACUUCUCAAGCGAUUUGCAUAAACAAAUACACUUGUGCACAUUCCAUACAGACACACGGACACACGAGGACAACGUGCGAUAUAGACACAUAGAUACACGCACACAUACAUAGCCAAGCACACACGCACAAACACACACGUAUAUAUACGAACACUCAUACAAUCACAUGUGAAAGCUCACACACUGACACGUAAAAGUGCAGAGAGACACGCCUUUCUGUGGAUCUAUUCGGUGCCGUACUCAAAUCAAUGAAUUAAGACACAGACACACACACACACAGACACGCACUCACACACAGAUACACACAUAGGUGUGCGUGUAUAUUCAUACAUACAUACAUACAUACAUACAUACAUACGUAUGUUUGUACAUACAUCAUUUCUCAACGCGUGCAUGCAUCUCACGUUUACAAUACUAAACAUACUGCAUAUUCCACACACAGGCACAUACGCUGCACACGCGCACACAGACACACGCACAAACACACGCGCGCGCGCGCUCACUCCCAUACGUUCACAGACGAACAGAAUCAUUCGCACAUUCACACAGCGCUAUACCUCACCAUUCUCCACAGCACUGUACACAUAACAAACUCGCGCGCGCACACAGACACAAAAAGACAUACCGUGCACAUCAUAAACACCAAAAGCUUCCACCGGACUCAUUUCAGAGCGGUCGGCGACGGUGGAAAAUAAGAACAGUUAAAAGUAAAAAGCACGCAUAACAAAGCGAGCCACAGUGGAUGGAGGGCGGUAGGUAUAUCUGGCAGAACAGAGCAGACCUACGAAAAUCCCAGGUGAAAUUCUUUAAGCUGCGCCCCAUGAAGGCAAGCGUUCGUUCAAUGGUUGUUAUCAGACAACAGGUGUUGGCUACGAUUUUGUUCUUCGUAGCUGGGGUUAGUUCGGAUUUACAUAUAAUCGGAUUGUUUCCCACGACAACUGAAAGGGAAGCUGGUGCCAUAGGACGUGGGGUCCGUCCAGCUGUAGAACUUGCUAUAGAGAAAGUGAACUCCGAUCCGGGAAUCUUACCUCACUGGAACCUUACUGUAAAUUGGAACGACACUAAGUGCGACAUGGCUGUUGCUACCCGCUUAUUCUUUGAUAUGAUGCACGAAAACACAACUAAAAUCAUAUUAUUUGGCGACGCAUGUUUUAACGUGACAGGACCUAUGGUGCAAAUUUCAAAAUGGUGGAAUAUGACGCAGUUAUCCUAUGCUGACACAAAUCCUUUACUGUCAGAUCGAAAGGAAUAUGAAAAUUUUUUCCGAACAGUACCCAGUGAUAGUGAUUUUAAUCCGGCCAGACUUGCACUUUUGAAACUUUUCCAAUGGUCCCGAGUUGGGACCCUCUUUGAAGAUACAUCCGAACAUGGAUAUUCGAUCAACAGAUUGGUCAGUUUACUUGAAAAGAACAACAUUACUAUUAUAAAAGUACAGAGCUUUGCCGAUGAUGCUGAUACAGCACUGCAAAAUUUAAAGGAGAAAGAUGUUCGUAUCAUUCUCGGAAACUUCUCACCCCAGAUGGCUCCAAACGUCUUCUGUAAUGCCUACAAAAGAGGGAUGUAUGGACCAAAGUACCAGUGGAUAAUCCUUGGUGGUUAUCCGGUGGAUUGGUGGACACAGAGUGAAGAGAAUUGUACUCAAGAGCAAAUCAAUGAGACAAUCCAUGGUUACAUUUCAACAGAUAUCCUCCCACUCAGUAGCAGCAAUUUAGUUACGGAUUCUGGUUGGACGCCAGCAACGUACCUGGACAAAUACAACAAAAAACGAGGAAACGAAUAUAGCAAAUUCCAUGGUUACGCAUUUGACGGAAUCUGGGUGAUUGCAAAGGCAUUUGAUCGUCUGGCGAGAAAGCGGAAACGGCGACAUACACCUUUAGUCUUUACUCGUGAGGAAGUUACUGCAGCUCUAAAUGCAACAAAUUUUCUUGGUGUGACGGGAACCGUCCGUUUCAACAGAGGAGAUCGAGUAGGCGGUAUUCUCUUUGAACAAUUUCAAGAUGGGAAAAUGGUUAAAAUAGGUGAAUAUUACCAACUAGAUGACCAUUUAAACUUAUCAGAUUGGAAUAAAAUCAUUUGGAGAGGUGAGAGGCCACCUCUAGAUGGCUUUUUACGGAUUGAGCAAAUGCAAAGGGUUUCCAUUAUUGCCUAUGGAAUAUUUUCUUCAUUGGCAGCCCUAGGAAUAGUUAUGGCAUGUAUGUUCCUGGCAUUUAAUAUUAAAUUCCGGAAACAUAGAUAUAUAAAGAUGUCGAGUCCAAAUAUGAACAAUAUGAUUGUUACCGGGUGUAUACUUACAUAUACUAGCGUGCUAUUACUAGGAACAGACGGGCGAAUAUUAUCACAUAACAGCUUUGCAUUUAUGUGUAACGCACGAGCUUGGGUAUUAAGUAUUGGUUUUACAUUAGCCUUUGGCGCGAUGUUUAGUAAAACAUGGCGAGUGCAUGCCAUAUUCACCAACAUUAAAUUAAAUAAAAAGGUUAUAAAAGAUUAUAAAUUGUUCCUGAUCGUCGGAGUCCUGUUAGUUGUCGACGGUGUAAUGUUAGGUACUUGGUGGGGCAUGGAUCCAUUCCACAUUGCAAGCAAAGAAUUGUCACAUUCGUUAAAAGGAGACAGUGAAAUUGUCCCUGUUGUAGAGUCAUGCGCCAGUGAUUAUAUGACAAUAUGGAUGGGUCUUAUAUAUGCCUAUAAAGGUUUACUUCUGGUAAUUGGUUGUUUCUUAGCUUGGGAAACACGCCAUGUGAGCAUCCCCGCCUUAAAUGAUUCUAAAUAUAUCGGCAUGAGUGUCUACAAUGUGGUGAUAAUGUGUACAUGUGGAGCUGCCGUUUCUAUUAUCAUCAAAGACAAGCCCACGUCAGCUUUUAUCAUUAUAGGUCUUUUCAUCAUAUUUUGUACAACCAUCACAUUGUGCCUUCUCUUUGUUCCAAAGAUAAUAGAACUUAAAAGAGACCCUAAAGGAGAUGAACGUGCAAGAAUGAGAGCAACUUUUAAAAAACCUUCAUCCAAACAAAUUAGUAUUGAGCCACCAAAUACAGAAUUGCACCAAAAGCUGACUUUAGUGAGUGAUGAAAACAUGAGAUACAAACAAAUACUGGAACAGAAAAACAAAGAAAUCCAAGAACUGAUGGAACAAUUAGGAGAUGAAGCGAGUUUAUAUGAAACAUCAAUGAAAACACCAGUACAUAAAAUGGUAGAAUCAUUAAAAACUACUGAUACAUCUCCUAGCAAGUACUCAAGAAGCACCAUUACGUCGGAUGGCGAUUCUACAUCUAUGAUAUCUGACUUAAGUGCAGCGACGAGUAUAUGGCAAGUUGAUUCUCCAUCUGGUCAGCGAAUUUACCUUCGACUUCAUUCAUUAGGAGAUGACACUUCAUGCACUGAAAGUAUUGAACUUGUAGACUUCAGUAAGAAACCUACUUUUAAUAAAUUGACGCCAAUGAGAGAAGAAUUCGUCCAAAAUGAACACUAUGAUGAUACCUAUGCGACAGUAUAUUGUACAAAAUCAGAAUCCACGUCGAAGCACAGCUUACAAAGCUCUACAGAGCAAGCCGAAGUUCCUAUUAUUCAGCCAGCAGAGGAGGAGCAUCCUCUAGUCCACAAAUAUGCCCACAUAACUUUCUUAGAUGGCCCUGUGGCCGACGAUGAAUCAACGGACUCCUUGGCAAUAGACCAAAAUAAAGAAGAAGAAGAAAGAAGCAUUAUCAGUGGUGACAUGCCAGAAUCUGUGUUUGAAUGCCAGGCUUUAUACUAACCCGGAUGCCUAAUUAACAGGUGCCAUUUCUAAUUUUUCAUUCUUGCCCCGUAUGAAGCUAACUUAUCGGCCUAGAAGACAGUAGUGACGAAGACACUCUGGUUGACUAUGAAGAUUGUGAGCUGGCGGACAACCAACUGAGUGAAAGCCCGAGCAGUUGGCAUGAAACUUUCAGCGGCGGCGGAAUCACGUUCUCCGCGUC
rnacentral:misc_RNA from 1 species